UCUCGAUAGCGGAAAAGUUAACUCAAAUUUGUAUGGCGUUGGAACGUUUGCCUACGUUUUCCGCUAGGGGCGCUGUUCCAACUGCAUACAAAUUUGAGUUAGGUACUUUUACGCUAUCGA
rnacentral:pre_miRNA from 9 species